rnacentral:rRNA from 1 species
UUUUUUUUGUUAAUAAUUUAAAGUAAAGCCUGCUCAAUGAAUAUUUAAAUAGCUGCGGUAUUUUGACCGUACAAAGGUAGCAUAAUCAUUAGUUUUUUAAUUGAAAGCUAGAAUGAAUGGUUUAACGAGAAAUUAACUGUCUCUAUAAAAUUAUCAAAAUUUAAUUUUUAAGUCAAAAAGCUUAAAUUUUUUUAAAAGACGAGAAGACCCUAUAGAUCUUUAUAAAUAAUAAAUUUAUUAAAUUUUUAGAUUUAUUUUUUUAUAAUUUUAUUUUUAUUUUAUUGGGGUGAUAUAAAGAUUAAAAUAACUCUUUAUUUUUUUAUUAAUUAUUUUUAUAAUUUUGAUCCUUAUUUAUGAUUAUAAGAUUAAGUUACCUUAGGGAUAACAGCGUAAUUUUUUUAAAGAGUUCUUAUCGAUAAAAAAGAUUGCGACCUCGAUGUUGGAUUAAGAAAAAAUUUUGGUGCAGAAGUUAAAAUUUUAGGUCUGUUCGACCUUUAAAUUCUUACAUGAUCUGAGUUCAAACCGGCGUGAGCCAGGUUGGUUUCUAUCUUUAUUUUUUUAAAAUAUUUUAGUACGAAAGGACCAAUUAUUUAAUAUAUUAUUUUAUUUAAAAUUUAAAUUAAUUACUUUGGCAGAUUAGUGCGUUAAAUUUAGAAUUUAUUUAUGUAUAAUUUAUACAAGUAGUACUUGAUUUUAAAUGAAUUAAUUUUAGUAUUUAUUUAUUCUAUUGUUUUAAUUAUUGGUGUUUUAGUUGGAGUAGCUUUCUUAACUUUAUUAGAGCGUAAAGUUUU